UUAAUGAGAGUUUGAUCCUGGCUCAGGACGAACGCUGGCGGCGUGCCUAAUACAUGCAAGUAGAACGCUGAAGAGAGGAGCUUGCUCUUCUUGGAUGAGUUGCGAACGGGUGAGUAACGCGUAGGUAACCUGCCUUGUAGCGGGGGAUAACUAUUGGAAACGAUAGCUAAUACCGCAUAACAAUGGACGACACAUGUCAUUUAUUUGAAAGGGGCAAUUGCUCCACUACAAGAUGGACCUGCGUUGUAUUAGCUAGUAGGUGAGGUAAUGGCUCACCUAGGCGACGAUACAUAGCCGACCUGAGAGGGUGAUCGGCCACACUGGGACUGAGACACGGCCCAGACUCCUACGGGAGGCAGCAGUAGGGAAUCUUCGGCAAUGGGGGCAACCCUGACCGAGCAACGCCGCGUGAGUGAAGAAGGUUUUCGGAUCGUAAAGCUCUGUUGUAAGUCAAGAACGGGUGUGAGAGUGGAAAGUUCACACUGUGACGGUAGCUUACCAGAAAGGGACGGCUAACUACGUGCCAGCAGCCGCGGUAAUACGUAGGUCCCGAGCGUUGUCCGGAUUUAUUGGGCGUAAAGCGAGCGCAGGCGGUUUGAUAAGUCUGAAGUUAAAGGCUGUGGCUCAACCAUAGUUCGCUUUGGAAACUGUCAAACUUGAGUGCAGAAGGGGAGAGUGGAAUUCCAUGUGUAGCGGUGAAAUGCGUAGAUAUAUGGAGGAACACCGGUGGCGAAAGCGGCUCUCUGGUCUGUAACUGACGCUGAGGCUCGAAAGCGUGGGGAGCGAACAGGAUUAGAUACCCUGGUAGUCCACGCCGUAAACGAUGAGUGCUAGGUGUUGGAUCCUUUCCGGGAUUCAGUGCCGCAGCUAACGCAUUAAGCACUCCGCCUGGGGAGUACGACCGCAAGGUUGAAACUCAAAGGAAUUGACGGGGGCCCGCACAAGCGGUGGAGCAUGUGGUUUAAUUCGAAGCAACGCGAAGAACCUUACCAGGUCUUGACAUCCCGAUGCUAUUUCUAGAGAUAGAAAGUUACUUCGGUACAUCGGUGACAGGUGGUGCAUGGUUGUCGUCAGCUCGUGUCGUGAGAUGUUGGGUUAAGUCCCGCAACGAGCGCAACCCCUAUUGUUAGUUGCCAUCAUUCAGUUGGGCACUCUAGCGAGACUGCCGGUAAUAAACCGGAGGAAGGUGGGGAUGACGUCAAAUCAUCAUGCCCCUUAUGACCUGGGCUACACACGUGCUACAAUGGUUGGUACAACGAGUUGCGAGUCGGUGACGACGAGCUAAUCUCUUAAAGCCAAUCUCAGUUCGGAUUGUAGGCUGCAACUCGCCUACAUGAAGUCGGAAUCGCUAGUAAUCGCGGAUCAGCACGCCGCGGUGAAUACGUUCCCGGGCCUUGUACACACCGCCCGUCACACCACGAGAGUUUGUAACACCCGAAGUCGGUGAGGUAACCUUUUGGAGCCAGCCGCCUAAGGUGGGACAGAUGAUUGGGGUGAAGUCGUAACAAGGUAGCCGUAUCGGAAGGUGCGGCUGGAUCACCUCCUUUCUAAGGAA
rnacentral:rRNA from 1 species